rnacentral:rRNA from 1 species
AGAUUGAACGCUGGCGGCAGGCCUAACACAUGCAAGUCGAGCGGCAGCACGGGUACUUGUACCUGGUGGCGAGCGGCGGACGGGUGAGUAAUGCCUAGGAAUCUGCCUGGUAGUGGGGGAUAACGCUCGGAAACGGACGCUAAUACCGCAUACGUCCUACGGGAGAAAGCAGGGGACCUUCGGGCCUUGCGCUAUCAGAUGAGCCUAGGUCGGAUUAGCUAGUUGGUGAGGUAAUGGCUCACCAAGGCGACGAUCCGUAACUGGUCUGAGAGGAUGAUCAGUCACACUGGAACUGAGACACGGUCCAGACUCCUACGGGAGCAGCAGGUGGGGAAUAGUUGGAACAAGUGGG